rnacentral:rRNA from 1 species
UACGUGGGGGGCAAGCGUUGUCCGGAAUCAUUGGGCGUAAAGAGCGUGUAGGCGGCUCGAUAAGUCUGCUGUGAAAGUCCAGGGCUCAACCCUGGAAGGCCGGUGGAAACUGUCGGGCUAGAGUCCGGAAGAGGCGAGUGGAAUUCCCGGUGUAGCGGUGAAAUGCGCAGAUAUCAGGAGGAACACCGAUGGCGAAGGCAGGUCUCUGGGCCACUACUGACGCUGAGAAGCGAAAGCAUGGGGAGCGAACGGG